GAAAGACAAGGCUUACCAUGGCUGCAUGCAGCCCGAAUUUGCUGCCUGGACCUGCGUCUGUGAUCUGUAACACCAAAGAGCCACAGGCACUCUAUAUUAAGAAUGCAAAUGCAACCUUGUAAUGAAAACACAUGUGCUAUGUAAGGUGAAUAGUGUUGUUCACCGU